AACGAACGCUGGCGGCAUGCCUAACACAUGCAAGUCGAACGAUGCCUUCGGGCAUAGUGGCGCACGGGUGCGUAACGCGUGGGAAUCUGCCCUUGGCUUCGGAAUAACAGUUAGAAAUGACUGCUAAUACCGGAUGAUGUACCCUGAGAGAUCUUGGGGACCAAAGAUUUAUCGGCCAGGGAUGAGCCCGCGUAGGAUUAGGUAGUUGGUGGGGUAAAGGCCUACCAAGCCGACGAUCCUUAGCUGGUCUGAGAGGAUGAUCAGCCACACUGGGACUGAGACACGGCCCAGACUCCUACGGGAGGCAGCAGUGGGGAAUAUUGGACAAUGGGGGGAACCCUGAUCCAGCAAUGCCGCGUGAGUGAUGAAGGCCUUAGGGUUGUAAAGCUCUUUUACCAGGGAUGAUAAUGACAGUACCUGGAGAAUAAGCUCCGGCUAACUCCGUGCCAGCCGCCGCCGUAAAAC
rnacentral:rRNA from 1 species